AGAGUUUGAUCAUGGCUCAGGAUGAACGCUGGCGGCGUGCCUAAUACAUGCAAGUCGAACGGAGUAUAUGAGCAAUUGUAUACUUAGUGGCGAACGGGUGAGUAACGCGUUGGUGACCUGCCCCGAAGCGGGGGACAACAGUUCGAAAGGGCUGCUAAUACCCCAUGUAGUUGAGAGAGACUAGAAACUUUCAACUAAAGGAGUAAUCCACUUCGGGAGGGGCCUGCGUCCCAUCAGCUAGUUGGUAGGGUAAAAGCCUACCAAGGCGAAGACGGGUAGGGGACCUGAGAGGGUGGCCCCCCACAAUGGAACUGAAACACGGUCCAUACACCUACGGGUGGCAGCAGUAGGGAAUAUUGCACCAUGGGCGAGAGCCUGAUGCAGCAACGCCGCGUGAGUGAUGAAGGCCUUCGGGUCGUAAAACUCUUUUCAAGGGGAAGAGGAAGGACGGUACCCUUGGAAUAGCAUCGGCUAACUACGUGCCAGCAGCCGCGGUAACACGUAGGAUGCAAGCGUUAUUCGGAUUUACUGGGCGUAAAGCGCGUGUAGGCGGUUAGGAGAGUUGGAUGUGAAAGCUCCCGGCUUAACUGGGAGAGGUCGUUCAAAACUUCCUGACUAGAGUUUGGUAGAGGAAAAUGGAAUUCCGGGUGUAGUGGUGAAAUGCGUAGAUAUCCGGAGGAACACCAGUGGCGAAAGCGAUUUUCUGGACCGAUACUGACGCUCAGACGCGAAAGCUAGGGUAGCAAACGGGAUUAGAGACCCCGGUAGUCCUAGCUGUAAACGAUGUAGACUUGGCGUUGGGAGAGUAAAAUCAUCCAGUGCCGAAGCAAACGCGAUAAGUCUACCGCCUGGGGAGUACGGCCGCAAGGUUAAAACUCAAAGGAAUUGACGG
rnacentral:rRNA from 1 species